rnacentral:misc_RNA from 1 species
GAUGAAGAACGCAGCGAAAUGCGAUAAGUAAUGCGAAUUGCAGAAUUUCCGUGAGUCAUCGAAUCUUUGAACGCACAUUGCGCCCAUUAGUAUUCUAGUGGGCAUGCCUGUUCGAGCGUCAUUUCAACCCUCAAGCUCUCUUGCUUGGUGUUGGGGCUUCUGCGGCUUCGGCCGCAGGCCCUGAAAAACAGUGGCGGGCUCGCUAUAACUCCGAGCGUAGUAAUCUCUCUCGCUUUGGAAGUGUGGCGGUUCCCGGCCGUUAAACCCCCCAAUUUCUGAAUGUUGACCUCGGAUCAGGUAGGAAUACCCGCUGAACUUAAGCAUAUCAAUAAGCGGAGGA